CACGCUGUAAACGAUGAAUACUAGGUGUGCGGGGACUGACCCCUCACGUGCCGCAGUUAACACAAUAAGUAUUCCACCUGGGGAGUACGAUCGCAAGGUUGAAACUCAAAGGAAUUGACGGGGGCCCGCACAAGCGGUGGAUUAUGUGGUUUAAUUCGAAGCAACGCGAAGAACCUUACCAGGGCUUGACAUCCUACUAACGAAGUAGAGAUACAUCAGGUGCCCUUCGGGGAAAGUAGAGACAGGUGG
rnacentral:rRNA from 1 species